CAGUGGCGGACGGGUGAGUAACACGUAGGCGACCUGCCCCGAAGCAGGGGAUUGCGGCCCGAAAGGGCCGCUAAUACCCAAAAGGGUCACGAGUCAUAUCGUGGUCAGAGUUACGGCGUUUCAGGAGGGGCCUGCGGCCCAUCAGCUAGUUGGUAGGGUAACGGCCUACCAAGGCGACGACGGGUAGGGGGCCUGAGAGGGUGAUCCCCCACAUUGGCACUGACACACGGGCCAAACUCCUACGGGAGGCAGCAGUGAGGAAUACUGCACAAUGAGCGAAAGCUAGAUGCAGCAACGCCGCGUGGACGACGAAAGCCUUCGGGUCGUAAAGUCCUUUUCAGGGGGACGAGUGAGGACGGUACCUCUGGAAUAAGUCACGGCUAACUACGUGCCAGCAGCCGCGGUAAAACGUAGGUGGCGAGCGUUAUCCGGAUUCACUGGGCGUAAAGCGCCUGCAGGCGGUCUCGUAAGUGGGAUGUGAAAUCUCUUGGCUCAACUGGGAGGGGCCAUUCCAUACUGCGGGACUGGAGGGCAGAAGAGGGAAGCGGAAUUCCCGGUGUAGUGGUGAAAUGCGUAGAUAUCGGGAGGAACACCAGUGGCGAAGGCGGCUUCCUGGCCUGCUCCUGACGCUAAGAGGCGAAAGCUAGGGGAGCGAACGGGAUUAGAAACCCCGGUAGUCCUAGCCGUAAACGAUGGAUACUGGGUGUCGGCGGUCCUAACCCCGUCGGUGCCGAAGCAAACGCGUUAAGUAUCCCGCCUGGGGACUACGGCCGCAAGGUUAAAACUCAAAGGAAUUGACGGGACCCCGCACAAGCAGCGGAGCGUGUGGUUUAAUUCGAUCUACACGAAGAACCUUACCCAGGUUUGACAUGCAAGUAGUAGUGAAGCGAAAGCGGAACGACCCGCAAGGGAGCUUGCACAGGUGCUGCAUGGCUGUCGUCAGCUCGUGCCGUGAGGUGUUGGGUUAAGUCCCCUAACGAGCGCAACCCUCGUCGUCAGUUACAUGUGUCUGGCGAGACUGCCGGUCUAAAGCCGGAGGAAGGUGGGGAUGAUGUCAAGUCAGCAUGGCCUUUAUAUCUGGGGCUACACACACGCUACAAUGGCCAGUACAAUGGGUCGCCAACCCGCGAGGGGGAGCCAAUCCUAAAAAGCUGGUCUCAGUUCGGAUUGCAGGCUGCUACCCGCCUGCAUGAAGUCGGAGUUGCUAGUAAACGCAGGUCAGCCAUACUGCGUUGAAUACGUUCCCGGGGUUUGUACACACCGCCCGUCACGUCAUGGGAGCUGGUAACACCUGAAGCCGGUGCGCUAACCGCAAGGGGGCAGCCGUCGAGGGUGGGACU
rnacentral:rRNA from 1 species